rnacentral:lncRNA from 1 species
GUGGGGCCGGGGGCGGGGCGCCCGGGGGCGUGCACACCGGCGGGGACACGAGCUCCCGGCCGCGGCAACUCGCUCCAAGUUCCCUCCCUCGCUCUCUGGCGCUGGCAGUCAGAGUCCUCCCACUCGGCUCAGACGGAGCCGCCGCGGCCGCCGCCAGCUCGGCCCCCCGCUGCCUCGCGCCCCGGACCCCGCGGCCUUCCCAGUCCCUCGCUCUACCCUCCGGUGGCCCCGGCGGCCCGGCCCUCGUCCCUCGAGGGCCUCGACAAUUUUGCCUGCCGUCCCCGGAGCCCGGUGCCCGGCUCGAACUGCACAGGGGAGCGCGGACGAGCUGUCUCCAACUGGACAUCCAGGGCACCUCUCCUGUUCUUUCUGACUCUUGAAUUGGAAGCUAACAAGACUCUACAGCCUGGAAAAGAAGUAAAAGCCAAUCAUCCUGAGGCCAGUGGUGGCCAGAAGAAGAUGGAAUCAAGAGGUCAGAGUCUUGCAGUUAACAUAGAAACCAGGCUGAUCCAGGCUACAUCCUAGCCUAGGUGAGAAACUUCACAAGUGAGGUCCUAGGGAAGACCAUGAACUUGAGCAGUGAGGCUGUAGGGAGC